CUCCUGAUCUCUCCCCGUCCCUUUUGACUAGUGUCUCUGACUGCCUCUCUGCUGUUUCUAACAGGAUGGCUGCCCACUUCCUUAAACUAAACUUGACCAAAACUGAAAUUCUGGUCUUUCCUCCUUCAAGUGUUGUUACUCCUGUGUCUGUCUCCCUCCAAGUCAACAGUGCUACCAUCAGCUCCACCACGCAGGCUCGCUGCCUAGGUGUUCUCUUUGACUCUGAC